ensembl:lncRNA
AAAAGACCUAAGCUCCAGAGAGUCCGCCAGGCCUUCCUUGGACUGUAAGAAAUCCCUUCCACGAAUCUCACCAUCAACUUCCUCCCGGAAUCCAGCAUUUGCCAUUCUGUGGAUUUAUUUCCUCUGUUUUUAUGGCCCCAGGGGGAGGAGGAGAGAGAAAGGAGAUUGGUAUCUUCCUAAUAAAAACGCAAUUGUACAAGUGCUUCUUUCAUUUGCUGCAACACAAGCUUAAUAUUACAUUUCCACUUUUGGAUUUAAGAUAGGAUGCAGGCUGACUGGCUGGCAGAGUCAAAGGCAGACAGACACAGGAAAAGGGAAAGUAUUUCCAUCUUCAAGGUAAAGAAUUACAGAUUCAAGAAGUCAAAUUCAGAAAAUGAAAGCCUCAGAGCUGCACCCCAUCAUCAACCCCUCAGAGCUGGAGGUGAACAGCCCUUGUCUGGGAACUGGGAGGCUCUAAGCCCCCAUUCUCCCCGGAUUGUAUCUUUCAGAGGCAGAAGUGGAAAAUGUCGCCAUUUUGUUUGCAGCCUCAAAUAUCCAUCAUCAUGGCCUCUACCCACCCACAGCCCCAGUGCCCUAAGAAAAUCCUUAGAAGCCAGCAUUGGAGUCAUUUCUGGGUACCUGCUGAGUCCCACAGAGCAGCUUCUAAGGACCCUUUUCAUGUUUUAGGAAGAAGAAAAAUUUUGGAGGAUACAAAACCAGGCCACUGCAGAAAACUGGGAGUCUCACACCGAAGGAGCUUUCCCCACAUUUCUCCUCCAGCCCAUGUUCUUUUCAAAGAUUUUGGCCUGUGUCGAAGUGGAUUUGCUCCCCUCACCCCAACAUUUCUGCCGAAAUAUGGUGCACACAUCAUCGGAAAUGCAGAGGCUGGAAAACCAGUCUUGGAGAGGACUGGAGCCUUUUGGUUGUUGAUGUUGUGCAGACACCGUAGUCUUUUUAUGUAAGCAUAUUAGAAACAUGCACAAAAUUACCUGGGAAAAUAAGGACCAGCGCAUCAAGGGGAAGAGCACUGUCCAGCACUCAGUCUGAAGUCCUCUCAGAACUGGAGGAAAGAGAAUGGAGAAGUUGAAGCGAUGUAACUCCUCCUUGAGUCGCCCUCUCCCCCGCAGUGCUGUUUCCCACUACAGAACCAGGGUGCAGAUCUCCCUGGUGCCCAGGAGCAGGAAGGUGUGGGAGGCAAUUCAGGCUGUCAAGAAACACUCGCUGCGUCUCAACCAACCAGUCCCCAACCAGAGCGACAAGUACUCUAAGACGAGUAAGAGGGAAAAGGGAGAGAGGAGCAAGAGUCCUCUCCCUCCUUGCUGAUAAGUUCCAGCAGUCUUCCUGGAAAUCGGAAAUACUCACCGCACCCGAGCCCUACGGGUAUGAAACCCAGAGUGCCAGGAGCCGCACGAGCCUGCUCGGGGCGGCUUUUCUUUGGCAGGCCGCCGCCCAGGCUACGGGAAUUUGGACACAAGGACCUGGGGCUGCUGUCUCUCUUGGCACAUGCAUCUAUCUUUCUCCAGCCACUCCUGAGAAGUUGAUGGCGUAGGAAGAAUCGGCAAGCUUCGAGAGCCGCCUCUCCUUUUCGGCUGCCCGCAGGAGCCAGAUGCAAAGCUGCCGAGGAAAAGCCAGCUAACAAUGGGCUGUGGGGGCGCAGAUCCCAGGCUGGACAUUAAGAGGAGGCGAGGGGCUUCGAGGAGGAAAGGCGGACAGGGCAGAGUGGGGUGGGGGGAAGGAGAUUCCGAGGAAAAGAGAAAG